AUAUAAAUUCAGGAUCAGCUGUAUAGCGUGACCCAAAGCAUAUCCAGAAACAAACUCUCCAUCAUGUCUUACAUGGCAUUGGCUUUCAUUGUCCUGAUUGCCCUGGCAACAGUUAAUGCUGAAGCUGAAGAUGUGGAUGCAGAUAUGGGUUCAAGGAGAUGCUAUGGACGUAAAGGGAGAUGUCGUUUAGCAUGCAUGAAGCCUGAGGUUUAUCACGGACGACAGGAUUGCCCUUUAUUUCAGUGGUGCUGUGUUCGUGUAGUUUAACUGAAAGACCUGCUUACAUUAUACUUCAGUGAUUUUUCUUCCCCAGUAAUAGAACAAAUGAAACAUCAGUCGUGGAGAAGCUACUGACUUCUUUUGUUUUAUAAAGACUACCUUCUCACCAUAUCUUCUUUGCUUUUGCUUUAUUUGUUAAUAACUGCAUCUCUAAUGAUUGGUAAUUGGUAAUGCUGCAAGGUCUCUGAGGUAACAGAAUUUGAUAAUUGUGACAUGAAACUGUUUUUUAUUGUUAACUUUUGUUUAAUUUACCAUUAAAUAUUGAUUUUUGCAUUUA